rnacentral:rRNA from 1 species
ACCUGCCGCCAGGCUGCUCUCACAAACUAAGCAGUGUUAGGCUGGCUCUGUAUUUGCAUGGGAGACCCCAAGGGACACCUCGCUGCAGAGGGAA